rnacentral:rRNA from 1 species
UACGGAGGAUCCGAGCGUUAUCCGGAUUUAUUGGGUUUAAAGGGUGCUCAGGCGGGCCAUUAAGUCGGCGGUGAAAUUUUGCGGCUCAACCGUAAAAGUGCCUUCGAUACUGGUGGUCUUGAGUGUGGAUGAGGUAGGCGGAAUUUGUGGUGUAGCGGUGAAAUGCGUAGAUAUCACGAGGAACUCCGAUUGCGAAGGCAGCUUACUAAACCAUAACUGACGCUCAGGCACGAAGGCGUGGGGAUCAAACAGGAUUAGAUACCCUGGUAGUCCCU